rnacentral:rRNA from 1 species
GCGGCGGACGGGUGAGUAACGCGUGGGCAACCUACCUUAUACAGGUGGACAACAUCGGGAAACCGGUGCUAAUACCGCAUAACACAUUGAAAUGGAAUCAUUAUGAUGUCAAAGGAGGAAUCCGGUAUAAGAUGGGCCUGCGUCCAAUUAGCUAGUUGGUGAGGUAACGGCUCACCAAGGCGACGAUUGGUAGCCGAACUGAGAGGUUGAUCGGCCACAUUGGGACUGAGACACGGCCCAGACUCCUACGGGAGGCAGCAGUGGGGAAUAUUGCACAAUGGGGGAAACCCUGAUGCAGCAACGCCGCGUGAAGGAUGAAGGUCUUCGGAUUGUAAACUUCUUUGAUUGGGGAAGAAGAAGUGACGGUACCCAAAAAACAAGCCACGGCUAACUAACGUGCAAGCAGCCGCGGUAAUACGUAGGUGGCAAGCGUUGUCCGGAAUAAUUGGGUGUAAAGGGCGUGUAGGCGGGGAUGCAAGUCAGGUGUGAAAGCCCAUGGCUUCAACUGUGGGACUGCAUCUGGAACUGAAUCUCUUGAGUACUGGAGAGGGAAGUGGAAUUCCUAGUGUAGCGGUGAAAUGCGUAGAGAUUAGGAGGAACACCAGUGGCGAAGGCGGCUUCCUGGACAGUAACUGACGCUGAGGCGCGAAAGCGUGGGGAGCGAACAGGAUUAGAUACCCUGGUAGUCCACGCCGUAAACGAUGGAUACUAGGUGUAGGAGGUAUCGACCCCUUCUGUGCCGGAGUUAACACAUUAAGUAUCCCACCUGGGGAAUACGACCGCAAGGUUGAAACUCAAAGGAAUUGACGGGGGCCCGCACAAGCAGUGGAGUAUGUGGUUUAAUUCGAAGCAACGCGAAGAACCUUACCAGGGCUUGACAUCCCUUGACAGCUCUAGAGAUAGAGUUUCCCUUCGGGGCAAGGAGACAGGUGGUGCAUGGUUGUCGUCAGCUCGUGUCGUGAGAUGUUGGGUUAAGUCCCGUAACGAGCGCAACCCUUAUUGUUAGUUGCCAGCAAGUAAAGUUGGGCACUCUAACGAGACUGCCGGUGAUAAAUCGGAGGAAGGUGGGGAUGACGUCAAAUCAUCAUGCCCCUUAUGUCCUGGGCUACACACGUACUACAAUUGGCUUGGUACAGAGGGGAGCUAAGCCGCGAGUGGAGCCAAUCCCCAAAACCAGUCCCAGUUCGGAUUGCAGGCUGCAAUUCGCCUGCAUGAAGUGGGAAUUGCUAGUAAUGGCAGGUCAGCAUACUGCCGUGAAUACGUUCCCGGGCCUUGUACACACCGCCCGUCACACCAUGAGAGUUUGCAACACCCGAAGUCAGUAG